rnacentral:rRNA from 1 species
GAUUAACGCUGGCGGCGUGCAUAACACAUGCAAGUCGAACGAUGAAACUUAACUGAUUUCUUCGGAAUGAUUUUAAGUGGAUUAGUGGCGGACGGGUGAGUAACGCGUGAGUAACCUGCCUUGGAGAAGGGGAUAGCCUUUGGAAACGAAGAAUAAUACCCUAUGAUAUGAUAAUAUCUCAUGAUAUUAUCAUCAAAGAUUUAUCGCUCUAAGAUGGACUUGCGUCUGAUUAGUUAGUUGGUGAGGUAACAGCUCACCAAGGCAGCGAUCAGUAGCCGGCUUGAGAGAGUGUACGGCCACAUUGGGACUGAGACACGGCCCAGACUCCUACGGGAGGCAGCAGUGGGGAAUUUUGCACAAUGGGGGAAACCCUGAUGCAGCGACGCCGCGUGAUUUAGAAGGCCUUCGGGUUGUAAAAAUCUUUUGUAUGGGAAGAAAAUGACAGUACCAUACGAAUAAAGACCGGCUAAUUACGU